GCCUUUUGCAGCGUAUCUCCGGAAUGACGGGUACACUGUGGGGACCGCCGCUGCUAAAGCGGAGGAAGGAAUGGGCAACGGUAGGUCAGUAUGCCCCGAAUAUCCUGGGCUACACGCGGGCUACAAUGGUUGGGACAAUGGGUUUCUACCCCGAAAGGGGAUGGAAAUCUCCUAAACCCAAUCUUAGUUCGGAUUGAGGGCUGCAACUCGCCCUCAUGAAGCUGGAAUCCGUAGUAAUCGCGUUUCAACACAACGCGGUGAAUACGUCCCUGUCCCUUGCACAAAAA
rnacentral:rRNA from 1 species